rnacentral:rRNA from 1 species
AAAUUGAAGAGUUUGAUCAUGGCUCAGAUUGAACGCUGGCGGCAGGCCUAACACAUGCAAGUCGAGCGGUAGCACAGAGAGCUUGCUCUCGGGUGACGAGCGGCGGACGGGUGAGUAAUGUCUGGGAAACUGCCUGAUGGAGGGGGAUAACUACUGGAAACGGUAGCUAAUACCGCAUAACGUCGCAAGACCAAAGUGGGGGACCUUCGGGCCUCAUGCCAUCAGAUGUGCCCAGAUGGGAUUAGCUAGUAGGUGGGGUAACGGCUCACCUAGGCGACGAUCCCUAGCUGGUCUGAGAGGAUGACCAGCCACACUGGAACUGAGACACGGUCCAGACUCCUACGGGAGGCAGCAGUGGGGAAUAUUGCACAAUGGGCGCAAGCCUGAUGCAGCCAUGCCGCGUGUGUGAAGAAGGCCUUCGGGUUGUAAAGCACUUUCAGCGGGGAGGAAGGCGGUGAGGUUAAUAACCUCAUCGAUUGACGUUACCCGCAGAAGAAGCACCGGCUAACUCCGUGCCAGCAGCCGCGGUAAUACGGAGGGUGCAAGCGUUAAUCGGAAUUACUGGGCGUAAAGCGCACGCAGGCGGUCUGUCAAGUCGGAUGUGAAAUCCCCGGGCUUAACCUGGGAACUGCAUUCGAAACUGGCAGGCUAGAGUCUUGUAGAGGGGGGUAGAAUUCCAGGUGUAGCGGUGAAAUGCGUAGAGAUCUGGAGGAAUACCGGUGGCGAAGGCGGCCCCCUGGACAAAGACUGACGCUCAGGUGCGAAAGCGUGGGGAGCAAACAGGAUUAGAUACCCUGGUAGUCCACGCCGUAAACGAUGUCGAUUUGGAGGUUGUGCCCUUGAGGCGUGGCUUCCGGAGCUAACGCGUUAAAUCGACCGCCUGGGGAGUACGGCCGCAAGGUUAAAACUCAAAUGAAUUGACGGGGGCCCGCACAAGCGGUGGAGCAUGUGGUUUAAUUCGAUGCAACGCGAAGAACCUUACCUGGUCUUGACAUCCACAGAACUUAGCAGAGAUGCUUUGGUGCCUUCGGGAACUGUGAGACAGGUGCUGCAUGGCUGUCGUCAGCUCGUGUUGUGAAAUGUUGGGUUAAGUCCCGCAACGAGCGCAACCCUUAUCCUUUGUUGCCAGCGGUCCGGCCGGGAACUCAAAGGAGACUGCCAGUGAUAAACUGGAGGAAGGUGGGGAUGACGUCAAGUCAUCAUGGCCCUUACGACCAGGGCUACACACGUGCUACAAUGGCAUAUACAAAGAGAAGCGACCUCGCGAGAGCAAGCGGACCUCAUAAAGUAUGUCGUAGUCCGGAUUGGAGUCUGCAACUCGACUCCAUGAAGUCGGAAUCGCUAGUAAUCGUAGAUCAGAAUGCUACGGUGAAUACGUUCCCGGGCCUUGUACACACCGCCCGUCACACCAUGGGAGUGGGUUGCAAAAGAAGUAGGUAGCUUAACCUUCGGGAGGGCGCUUACCACUUUGUGAUUCAUGACUGGGGUGAAGUCGUAACAAGGUAACCGUAGGGGAACCUGCGGUUGGAUCACCUCCUUACCUUAAAGAA